rnacentral:rRNA from 1 species
UACGGAGGGGGCAAGCGUUGUCCGGACUUACUGGGCGUAAAGGGUGCGCAGGCGGUUAUAUAAGACAGAUGUGAAAUCCCCGGGCUCAACCUGGGAACUGCGUUUGUGACUGUAUGACUAGAGUACGGUAGAGAGGGGUGGAAUUCCUGGUGUAGCAGUGAAAUGCGUAGAUAUCAGGAGGAACAUCGAUGGCGAAGGCAGCCCCUUGGACCUGUACUGACGCUCAUGCACGAAAGCGUGGGGAGCAAACAGG